GGCCUGACAGAGUCCUCUCAUGUUGUCAUCAUUUGUGUGCCAACUCUACGUUGACGCAUGUGGCUCUGCACUCAUAGAGGAUUGCUUCUCGGACGUUUAUUUAACGUGAUAACGGUCUUUGCUCCGUGCCUUCUGGCUGGCUGCACUGUCAUUUAGGCCGGCGGUGGGGAAGUGAUUUCGGUGGUUAAGUGGCUGCUUCUUUCUCAACCGGUGAUGAGGACUUUUCGCUGGGAUCUCUGCUGGGGUAUCUUAGCUCUCCACAUGCUCUCUCAUCUCUACAUGGCCUCUCUACAUGGUGGUUCACCCUGUAGGCUUUACUCUACCUGGUCCUCUCUGCAGUAGAACAGCUAAGCUUCCCUCGCAUCACAGAAUUACUGGAGCAGCUGGUCCGAAUGUCACCAUACCCUCGUCUGUUCAAUGAGAGUCCAAGUGCCUCCUUGAGAACUAUGAAAACAGCAGCUGAGAACAAGAAGAAGUAACGGCUCAAUGUUUUACAUCAUUAGCUCAGAGUGCAGCAAU